CCAAUAGCGUAUAUUAAAGUUGUUGCAGUUAAAAAGCUCGUAGUUGAAUUUCGGGAUCAGUUGGUCGGUCGUGCCUUGGUACGUACUGGCUAAAUCGAUUCCUCCCUUCUGACGAACCGCGAUGUCAUUAAUUUGGUGUCAUGGGGAAUCAGGACUGUUACUUUGAAAAAAUUAGAGUGUUUAAAGCAGGCUCGCGCUUG
rnacentral:rRNA from 1 species